rnacentral:rRNA from 1 species
GACGAACGCUGGCGGCGUGCUUAACACAUGCAAGUCGAGCGGUAAGGCCCUUUCGGGGGUACACGAGCGGCGAACGGGUGAGUAACACGUGGGUGACCUGCCCUCAGCUCUGGGAUAAGCCUGGGAAACCGGGUCUAAUACCGGAUAUGACUCCAUGACGCAUGUUGUGGGGUGGAAAGCCUUGUGCGGCUGAGGAUGGGCCCGCGGCCUAUCAGCUUGUUGGUGGGGUGANGGCCUACCAAGGCGACGACGGGUAGCCGGCCUGAGAGGGCGACCGGCCACACUGGGACUGAGACACGGCCCAGACUCCUACGGGAGGCAGCAGUGAGGAAUCUUGCGCAAUGGGCGAAAGCCUGACGCAGCGACGCCGCGUGAGGGAUGACGGCCU